AUUGAACGCUGGCGGCAGGCCUAACACAUGCAAGUCGAACGGAGUGGCGGACGUGUGAGUAAUGUCUGGGACACUGCCUGAUGGAGGGGGAUCGCGUCCGGAACCGGGCGCUAAUACCGCAUACUAUCAGAUGAGCCUAGGUCGGAUUAGCUAGUUGGUGGGGUAAAGGCCUACCAAGGCGACGAUCCGUAACUGGUCUGAGAGGAUGCUCAGUCACACUGGAACUGAGACACGGUCCAGACUCCUACGGGAGGCAGCAGUGGGGAAUAGUGGACAAUGGGCGAAAGCCUGAUCCAGCCAUGCCGCGUGUGUGAAGAAGGUCUUCGGAUUGUAAAGCACUUUAAGUUGGGAGGCGUUACCAACAGAAUAAGCACCGGCUAACUUCGUGCCAGCAGCCGCGGUAAUUC
rnacentral:rRNA from 1 species